rnacentral:rRNA from 1 species
AUACGGAGGGUGCAAGCGUUAAUCGGAAUUACUGGGCGUAAAGCGCGCGUAGGCGGCUCGAUAAGUCGGAUGUGAAAGCCCCGGGCUCAACCUGGGAACUGCAUUCGAAACUGCCGAGCUAGAGUUUGAUAGAGGAGAGUGGAAUUCCACAUGUAGCGGUGAAAUGCGUAGAUAUGUGGAGGAACACCAGUGGCGAAGGCGGCUCUCUGGAUCAAAACUGACGCUGAGGUGCGAAAGCGUGGGUAGCAAACAGGAUUAGAUACCCCAGUAGUCC